rnacentral:rRNA from 1 species
UACAGAGGUCUCAAGCGUUGUUCGGAUUCAUUGGGCGUAAAGGGUGCGUAGGUGGCGCUGUAAGUCGGGUGUGAAAUUUCGGAGCUUAACUCCGAAACUGCAUUCGAUACUGCGGUGCUUGAGGACUGGAGAGGAGACUGGAAUUCAUGGUGUAGCAGUGAAAUGCGCAGAUAUCAGGAGGAACACCGGUGGCGAAGGCGGCGCUCUGGGCCGGUACUGACACUGAGGAGCGAAAGCGUGGGUAGCAAACAGG